UACAGAGGUCUCGAGCGUUAGGCGGAAUCACUGGGCUUAAAGCGUGUGUAGGCGGAUUGCUAAGUACCUUGUGAAAUCCCACGGCUUAACCGUGGAACUGCUUCGUAUACUGGCUGUCUUGAGCCACUUAGGGGCAACCGGAACAAACGGUGGAGCGGUGAAAUGCGUAGAUAUCGUUUGGAACGCCAAUGGUGAAAACAGGUUGCUGGGAGUGUGCUGACGCUGAGACACGAAAGCCAGGGGAGCAAACGGG
rnacentral:rRNA from 1 species